rnacentral:lncRNA from 1 species
GCAGUUUUGAGUCAGAUCUUUAGAUUCAAGAGUAGACAGCAUAGUCUGGACACAGUGAUACAUGAUACAGGGCUGUCAGGGGAUGCAGGCUCCCACCUGCCUCACCUUUAGGUGUAUGGGUGAAGAGAGGAGUACAGGGUGGUGUAUUACUGCACCGUGCCUAGUGGAUAUCAGCAUUUACAAUGCAGCAAUCUGAUUGUUCCUUAUGUAGAUAUGCUUGGGUGUUUCAUGGCCCCUUGAGCUUCUUGUAGCUUCCUAUGUUUCAGCUCCCACAGGUGGUGGGUAUUGCAACACAGACCACAAAAUGAGGGCCAGGUGUCUAAAGUCUGUUCUCCCUUGUUGUAGCCCUUCCACCAGCAUGGACAGACUCUGAGAUAUUCCACUGAUGUCAUUCUCCUUUUGAACAUUUAUAAUUGUAUCUGAACAUCUAUGUUAAAACAGGAUGCUGGAAGGUCUGGAGAAGUUGUGUUGUAUUUUGGGGGGGGGGAUAUUGCUUAAAACUAGACAGGCUGAGUCUGUCAGAAUCAGGUGCACCCAGCUUUUGGAACAGCUGCGUGUAGGCUUAAAAGGUGCAAGAGAAAAGCGAGGCAUUGUAAAGCUCAGCUGAAGGUUGCUGACCUAAAAUCAGUUCUGGACUGGUGAGAAGACUUACUGGAUAGCUAACGUUGGUGAAAGAUGACUUUUCACACCAUCAAGGCCACUUUCUCAGCUUAUUGACAGCUUUAUGAGCACUGUUGGAAAAGCCCCAGCUUCCUUCGUUCCUCAGCUCCAGUUUUCCUUCGGGUGAGAGGGCUGGGAGGUCCCUGAGUUAUCGCACCUGGAUGUGUGUUACCUGCUGCUUCUCCACCCUUGAGGUGUAUGAUCAUAUCAGGACAACUGGUCAGGAUGUGCUACAGAGCAGCAUUUUCAGUCUUCUUGACUCAGCAGAAAGCAGAAACCCUGCAGUCAAGAUACCCAAACCCUGCUCAAUGCCUUGGCCUUGCUGCAGCAGGUAGCCAGGCAGCUGGCUGUGUGAUCCUAUGGCGCGUGGCUCAGCACAACUUGUGCUCCAGAGGACGUCCAGAAGAGAUUAGCAGGUAUGAGAAAUUACAAACAAAAUCAAGUUUUUGGAAAUGAAAUGGAGAGCUGUCGUGACAGGCAUUGUUAGUGGCUGCUAAUCCACUGAGCAGAGAGCGGAGAAGCCCCAGUCCAGCCCAGUAUAGGGUAGAAUAAAUUCCCUGUCUCUGUUUUAUGUCCUGUCUGU